UACAGCCGGAAGUUGCUCAGGUGAAAUAUUAGAGAAGAUGUAUCUCCAGUUUUACAUCAAUGAGAAUGGUGACAAAGUUUACACCACUAAGAAAGAAUCGCCACUGGGUUUGGCCACACAAUCUGCUCACCCAGCCCGCUUUUCGCCUGAUGAUAAAUUUUCAAGGCAAAGAGUGCUUCUGAAGAAGCGUUUUGGUUUGCUUCCUACCCAAAAACCAGCUCAAAAGUACUAGCCAUUUUUGGUCCCCAGUAUUGCUUUCUACUCGUAGUUAUUAAGCGUCUAAGUCUUGCCGGUGUUGAUGUGAAUCAUUAGGUUAUGUAUUGUAACUCAGAUUGCAUAUCAGCAAUUCAAACCCACAUCUAAUGUUGAUGUUUUUUUUUUGGUUUAUUUUGACUUGAUGGUGGAAUUGUUUUGUUAAAUUCAUAUGUUAAAA
rnacentral:misc_RNA from 1 species